GGUUAUUGGGGGUUUUGUUUUCUUCUCACACAAAUGUCGUAACUUUUGUUUUGCAACAGGUAAAGAAAAAGCUUGUUUGUGAGAACAGGAGAGAAGAAGCGUACAGGUUUAGAGAUUAAGGGGCAGAUUAGUUUAAGCAGUUCAAAGUAUUUUGAAGUUUUCCUAUGUUAUGCUUUAGGCCAGGAUAGUAUUUAUCAGGUGAAUGCCAUUUGAUUUGCCUUUAUAUAGAAAACACAGGAUAGCAGUGACCUGCAUGUAUGUAAGCAAUAUCCAAUUCUUAAUAUUAAAUUCUUUCAUGUAAUGAUUUCAUAGAAUCACAUUGAUAAAUAAUUGUGAACUGCAAUUGCCAAUAUGUAAGCAUUUCUUUCUUGCAUCAAUUUUGUAAUCUAAUUGAGGUCAGACUUGUUUGAUAGAUACCGUAAAAAAUUCACUGUGCUGGUUAUUGUUCAACCAGAAAUUGCAUCCAAGGAGUCAAAGCCUGAAAUGCUGAAAGCCUACCUUGUUUACUUUCUCCACUUAUAUAAACUAUAGCUUUACAAUUUUACAAGACCACAAGCCAACUUCCUGGUAAAUGGAUC
rnacentral:lncRNA from 1 species